rnacentral:rRNA from 1 species
GGGUUAGUGGCGGAAGGGUGAGUAACGAUAUCGAAUGUACCCCGAGGUGGGGGAUAGGCAUGGGAAACUGUGCGUAAUACCCCAUGAUCUCGAGAGAGCAAAGGCGCAAGCCGCCUUGGGAGCAGCGAUAUUCCUAUCAGGUAGUUGGCGGGGUAACGGCCCACCAAGCCUAAGACGGGUAGCCGGUAUGAGAGUACGGCCGGCCACAUCGGGACUGAGACACUGCCCGGACUCCUACGGGAGGCUGCAGUAACGAAUAUUCCGCAAUGGGCGAAAGCCUGACGGAGCAAUGCCGCGUGUGGGAUGAAGCGGUUUCGCCGUGUAAACCACUGUCAGGGGAUAGAAAAGAUGAUCAUCUCCAGAGGAAGGGGCGACUAACUCUGUGCCAGCAGUCGCGGUAAGACAGAGGCCCCGAGCGUUAGUCGGAAUUACUGGGCUUAAAGGGUGCGAAGGCGGGCGUGCGCGUGUUCUGUGAAAUCCCCGGGCUCAACCCGGGAACCGCAGGGCAUACGGCACGUCUCGAGGAAGCUAGAGGCCGGCGGAACGAUCGGUGGAGCGGUGGAAUGCGUAGAGAUCGAUCGGAACGCCAAGGGUGAAGACAGCCGGCUGGGGCUUUCCUGACGCUGAGGCACGAAAGCGCGGGGAUCAAACAGGAUUAGAUACCCUGGUAGUCCGCGCCCUAAACGAUGCGCACUAGAUCGGUGCCGGUUUCACCCGGUAUUGGUCGUAGAGAAAUUGCUAAGUGCGCCGCCUGGGGAGUACGGUCGCAAGGCUAAAACUC